rnacentral:rRNA from 1 species
CACGUAGGGUGCGAGCGUUGUCCGGAAUUACUGGGCGUAAAGGGCGCGCAGGCGGCUGCUCAAGUCAGGCGUGAAAGGCCUGGGCUCAACCCGGGAAUUGCGCUUGAGACUGGGCUGGCUUGAGUGCGGGAGAGGAUCGCGGAAUUCCCGGUGUAGAGGUGAAAUUCGUAGAUAUCAGGAGGAACACCGGUGGCGAAGGCGGCUUUCUGGACGACAACUGACGCUGAGACGCGAAAGCGUGGGGAGCAAACAGG